UACGUAGGGUGCGAGCGUUGUCCGGAAUUAUUGGGCGUAAAGGGCUCGUAGGCGGUUUGUCACGUCGGGAGUGAAAACUCGGGGCUCAACCCCGAGCCUGCUUCCGAUACGGGCAGACUAGAGGUAUGCAGGGGAGAAUGGAAUUCCUGGUGUAGCGGUGAAAUGCGCAGAUAUCAGGAGGAACACCGGUGGCGAAGGCGGCCUCUCUGGGACGGUACUGACG
rnacentral:rRNA from 1 species